GACUGUGGAUCCCAAACUUUGCAGUAUUAGCUAAGCCUUUGUAUGAGGUCACAAAGGGGGAGGGGACCGGGAACCUUUUGAAUGGGGAUCCCAGCAACAGCAAGCCUUUCAUGAGUUAAAGGAAAGACUUAUGUCAGCCCCAGCCCUGGGGCUACCCGAUCUGACAAAGCCUUUUACAUUGUAUGUGUCAGAGAGAGAAAAGAUGGCAGUUGGGAGUUUUAACCCAAACUGUGGGGCCCUGGCCGAGGCCGGUGGCCUACCUCUCUAAACAACUAGACGGGGUUUUUAAAGGAUGGCCCCCAUGUUUGAGGGCCUUGGCAGCAACUGCCCUGCUAGUACAAGAAGCAGAUAAGCUGACUCUUGGGCAAAACCGGAACAUAAAGGCCCCCCAUGCUGUGGUGACUUUAAUGAAUACUAAAGGACAUCAUUGGCUAAUGAGUGCUAGACUCACUAAGUACCAAAGUUUGCUUUGUGAAAAUCCCCGUAUAACCAUUGAAGUUUGUAACACCCUGAACCCCGCUACCUUGUUCCCAGUAUCAGAGAGCCCUGUUGAGCAUGACUGUGUAGAAGUGUUGGACUCAGUUUACUCUAGCAGACCUGACCUCCGGGACCAGCCUUGGGCAUCAGUAGACUGGGAACUAUACGUGGAUGGGAGCAGCUUUAUCAACCCACAAGGAGAGAGAUUUGCAGGGUAUGCGGUGGUAACUCUGGACACUGUUGUUGAAGCCAGAUCGUUGCCCCAGGGCACUUCAGCUCAGAAAGCUGAACUCAUUGCUUUAAUUCGGGCCUUAGAACUCAGUGAAGGUGACUCUUAAAUUUGAGAAACAUUGGAAUAGUGGAUUAAUUCGGAGUAGCGGUUUUUGUGAUCCACAGAUGAAGCACAGAGAAAAGGAUAGAGAUGGAGACACAAAAACAUUGAUCUCCCAAGCUGUAGAGACUGGGUCUCCUUUGGGAAUAUCUACAACUACCAACUGCACAACAAAGUAGUAAGUGCAGCUUCGAAUUUGUCUUGUGGUAGGCCACGAUCCUGUGCCCACAAGGACAGUGCACAGGUCAUCCGAGCACACGGCUGAGCCCGGUAGGCAAAGGAAGGAAGGUCCAGGUCACAGGGCAGCGAGGCCCAGCACAAUGAAGGAGAAUGGAAACACACCACACCUCAAUUAGAAUGGGAUCCAAUUCUUUUACAAAAAUUUUUUUCUGAUUACAAAAUUUAAGGGAAAAAGGGAAAGUUCUUCCUUCCUACAGACUGACAUGUAAUAAAUGGAGAUGGAACACACAAAAA